GAUGAACGCUGGCGGCGUGCCUAAUACAUGCAAGUCGAGCGAACAGACGAGGAGCUUGCUCCUCUGACGUUAGCGGCGGACGGGUGAGUAACACGUGGAUAACCUACCUAUAAGACUGGGAUAACUUCGGGAAACCGGAGCUAAUACCGGAUAAUAUAUUGAACCGCAUGGUUCAAUAGUGAAAGACGGUUUUGCUGUCACUUAUAGAUGGAUCCGCGCCGCAUUAGCUAGUUGGUAAGGUAACGGCUUACCAAGGCAACGAUGCGUAGCCGACCUGAGAGGGUGAUCGGCCACACUGGAACUGAGACACGGGCCAGACUCCUACGAAAGGCAGCAGUAGGGAAUCUUACGCAAUGGGCAAAAGCCUGACGGAGCAACGCCGCGUGAGUAAUAAAGAUCUUCGGAUCGUAAAGCUCAGUUAUUAGGGAAGAACAAAUGUGUAAGUAACUAUGCACGUCUUGACGAUACCUAAUCAGAAAGCCACGACUAACUACGUG
rnacentral:rRNA from 1 species